UCUCCAGUCGAAAUCUGGAACACGAUGGUGAGCAGUCUAGCAAUAGUAUAUAUUCAGCUUUUUUUAGACGACAAUAAAUUGCUUGGAAAACAUUUACAUAGACCCACACACACCACCAGGAUUGAUGAAAUAGAAAUGUAGUUGCAUUUUUCGUUGCGCUGUGUUGCAUUUUGUGGCAUUCGAAGAAUCUCCUAGCACAUGGUCCGGUAUCCAGCUAUGUCUUUCAAGGGUCCAUCUAGCUAGAAGGAAGUUACAAGCUACAUGAACAGGGUGUACCCAGUCUUUGUAGAGUGCUGUAUGAAGACCUGAUCUGCCACUUGCACAACCCUGGAUUUUCAGGAUCUUGAGAUGGGCUGCUCUGAUAUGAAGGCAUUAUUUGUGAAUGUGGUCUGCUGACAAGAGCAUCACAGGCAGGAAGUGGCAUGCCUCACCCGGCAUGUGCUCAAGUGGAGGACUCAGACUGUUUAAAGGACGGAUGAAAAAACAAAGGGCGCUUAUCUCAACAUGGCACCCCACCUAAAAAGCUACAUGUGUCAAGUGCCCAGUCUUUCUAGGGUCCUGUAUGAAGACUUGCCCUGGAUUUCCAGAUGUGCUUCCAGAUCCAUGAUCUGAGAUGGGAUGCUUUGAUAUGGAGGCACUACUUGUGACUGUGGUCUGCUGACAAGAGCAUCACAGGCUGGAAGUGGCAUGCCUCACCCGGCAUGUGCUCAAGUGGAGGACUGUUUGAAAGACGGGGGUGAAAAAACAAAGGGCACCUAUCACUCAACAUGGGGCCCCCAACCCCACCUAAAAAGCUACAUGUGUCAAUCUUUACCUGCCACUUGCAUAUCCCUGGAUUUCCAGAUGCGUUUUGAACUGCUUCAGGAUCUAUGAUUACCAUCUGAGAUGGGAUGCUCAAAUAUGGAGGCCUUAUUUGUGACUGUGGUCUGCUGACGAGAGCAUCACAGGCUGGAAGUGGUAUGCCGCACCUGGCAUGUGCUCAAGCAAAGGACUCAGACUGUUUGAAGGACAGGGGUGAAAAAACCAACCCCACCUAAAAAGCUACAUGUGUCAAGUGUACCCAGUCUUUGUAGGGUCCUGUAUGAAGACUUGAUCUGCCACUUGCAAAUCUGUGGAUUUUAAGAUGUGCUUUGAAUUGCUUCAGGAUCUAUGAUUACCAUCUGAGAUGGGAUGCUCAGAUAUGGAGGCCUUAUUUGUGACGGUGCUCUGCUGACAAGAGCAUCACAGGCUGCAAAGGGCUGUGGUCUGGAUUGGGGUAUCUGGAUACCAGUCUUGGUGUGGUGGCCAGAUGACCUGGAGUAAUUUUCAUCUAAGUUACAAGAUUUUCUACAAGUCGUCAAGUUAUUUUUUUGAAUGUGUCUGCUUGGAUUCAUGUGUGCUAGAUUGUAUACAAAUAGAAAAUGGACAAUUGUGUUUGGUUACUGACAUUUUCAGAACUAUAGCCAUAUGAAUCUCCGUUGCUUUUAUUGCACGCUUUGGAUAACAUGAUUAAAUUAUAAAAAUAAAUGUUUG